rnacentral:rRNA from 1 species
AUACAGAGGGUGCAAGCGUUAAUCGGAUUUACUGGGCGUAAAGCGCGCGUAGGUGGCUAAUUAAGUCAAAUGUGAAAUCCCCGAGCUUAACUUGGGAAUUGCAUUCGAUACUGGUUAGCUAGAGUAUGGGAGAGGAUGGUAGAAUUCCAGGUGUAGCGGUGAAAUGCGUAGAGAUCUGGAGGAAUACCGAUGGCGAAGGCAGCCAUCUGGCCUAAUACUGACACCGAGGUGCGAAAGCAUGGGGAGCAAACAGGAUUAGAUACCCUGUUAGUCCAUGCCGUAAACGAUGUCUACUAGCCGUUGGGGCCCUUGAGGCUUUAGUGGCGCAGCUAACGCGAUAAGUAGACCGCCUGGGGAGUACGGUCGCAAGACUAAAACUCAAAUGAAUUGACGGGG